GUGGGGAAUUUUGGACAAUGGGCGAAAGCCUGAUCCAGCCAUGCCGCGUGCAGGAUGAAGGCCUUCGGGUUGUAAACUGCUUUUGUACGGAACGAAAAGACUCCUUCUAAUAAAGGGGGUCCAUGACGGUACCGUAAGAAUAAGCACCGGCUAACUACGUGCCAGCAGCCGCGGUAAUACGUAGGGUGCAAGCGUUAAUCGGAAUUACUGGGCGUAAAGCGUGCGCAGGCGGUGAGAUAAGACAGAUGUGAAAUCCCCGGGCUCAAACUGGGAACUGCAUUUGUGACUGUAUAGCUAGAGUACGGUAGAGGGGGAUGGAAUUCCGCGUGUAGCAGUGAAAUGCGUAGAUAUGCGGAGGAACACCGAUGGCGAAGGCAAUCCCCUGGGCCUGCACUGACGCUCAUGCACGAAAGCGUGGGGAGCAAACAGGAUUAGAUACCCCUGUAGUCC
rnacentral:rRNA from 1 species